rnacentral:ncRNA from 1 species
AUUUGUAGAGGUGCUAAAAUCAAUAGUAUAUAUUAUGAGCUGAAAGCUAUGAGUAGUAUAGAAAGGGAAAUUAGCCGAAGGGAAGUAAAUCAAAAGAUUUCUCUGGACAUAUGUAGAAUAUACAUAUGGCUGUCACAUUAAUUUAGAUAUUAAAGUGGAGUGCUACGA